rnacentral:rRNA from 1 species
AUUGAACGCUGGCGGCAGGCCUAACACAUGCAAGUCGAGCGGAUGAAGGGAGCUUGCUCCUGGAUUCAGCGGCGGACGGGUGAGUAAUGCCUAGGAAUCUGCCUGGUAGUGGGGGAUAACGUCCGGAAACGGGCGCUAAUACCGCAUACGUCCUGAGGGAGAAAGUGGGGGAUCUUCGGACCUCACGCUAUCAGAUGAGCCUAGGUCGGAUUAGCUAGUUGGUGGGGUAAAGGCCUACCAAGGCGACGAUCCGUAACUGGUCUGAGAGGAUGAUCAGUCACCCUGGAACUGAGAAACGGCCCAGACCCCUAGGGGGGGCAGGAGGGGGGAAUUUUGGAAAAAGGGCGAAAGCCUGAACCACCCAUGCCGGGUGUGUGAAAAAGGUUUUCGGAUUGUAAAGCACUUUAAGUUGGGAGGAAGGGCAGUAAUUUAAACCCUUGCUUUUUUGGCUUUCCCAACAAAAAAAGCACCGGCUAACUUCGG